CCUUUCAAUGCAGCAGAAUUGGGAUGGUUGAGUAUCUCGCCUCUCCGUUCUGCCUGUAUUCUACCCUUGUUUUGUCAUAUACUAUUAUUUCCUCGGCAGGCUUGCCUGCCGAGUGAAACCAUUUAUAACCUUUUUAAUUUUGGAAUCUUCUGAGUAGUUUUUGACAAAAAUAAUAAUUA
rnacentral:misc_RNA from 1 species